GGAUCCAGAGCCGUUCAAGAGAUGCACCUGAGGGCACACGGAUGAGGGAUGCUCUGAUUCAGGUUAACCGAGGUAGGAAGACCCGAGCUGUAGGUAGGCAGUGCCACUCCAUGGACUGAGAUCUCAGAUUGGGUAGAGGGGAGGAAGCGAGCUGAUCAACAGCCUUCUGUGCUCUCAGCUUCCUGACUGUGGAUGCAAGGUGAGAAGCUGCCUCAAGGUCCUGCCACCACAAUAUCAAUAUCCCUGCCAUGACAGGUUGUACCUCAAACCAGGAGCUGAAGAAAUGCUUCCCCGUUGCUUCUGCCACAGCAGUAAGAAUAGAAAUGUAGGAAAUGGAAGGGCCUCCCCGAGGCACUGGUUCGCCAGGCUGAGGGAUAAAGAUCGGGCUGAGAUGGAAAGGAGAAUGACAAAGCCCGAAUCGCACACAGAGCUGCGAGGAGACCAGCGUGACUGCAGAGGGCCGAGUCACAGGGAAAGACAUUCCUAUGGAGCUAAGGAGGAGACCCAUGAUGUACUUGCCAGUUAAAGACCCUGGUACUUCUGUUAAGCAGAUUAGGGUGUAGACCAUGAAAAGUGAUAAAAUGUACGCAUUCUUACUUCUCAAAGACAGGGAAAAAAUAGUUGCCUCUUUAAGAAAAACUGGGGGCAGGAGAGAUGGUUCAGUGAUUGAGAGAACAUUCUGCUACUCCUUAGGGGACCUGGAUUCGGGUCCCAGCACCCACAUGGUGACUCACGACCAUCUGCAGCUCUAGUUCCAGAGGAUCUGGUGCCCUCUUCUGACCUCCAACGGCACCAGGUAUGCAUGUGGCACACGGGCACACAUGCAAGGCAAAACAUUCAUGCACAGAAAAUAAUAAAUCUAAAAAAGUUUAAAACAAGUUAAAUGGGGCUGGAGAGAUGGCUCAGUAGUUAAGAACACUGGCUGCUCUUCCAGAGGUCCUGAGUUCAAAUCCCAGCAACCACAUGGUGGCUCACAACCAUCUUUAAUGGGAUCUGAUGCCCUCUUCUGGUGUGUCUGAAGACAGCUACAGUGUACUCAUAUACAUAAAAUAAAUAAAUAAAUUUAAAAAAAAAGUUAAACGGACAGCGAAAAAAAUGUCAACGAUUUCAAAUGGUAACAGAGUGGGGUGCAAUGGCUCACACCCGGAAUCCCAGCACUCCUCAGGAGUCUCCUCAGGAGUCUGAGGGAAGAGAAGAAAGUUCAAAGCCAGCCUGGGCCGCAGAGCAGGAUGCCGGGUCACAACAACAAACUACUAAUCCUAAAAGAACCAAUAUUACCAAGCACUCAUCCCGUGUGAUGUUGCACCUCUGACUGUCCUGGAACUGGUCCUAUAGACCAGGCUGGUCUUGAACUCAGAGAUCUAUCUUUCUCUGCCUCCCACGUGCUGGGAUUACCACUGCCCAGUUUUUUCUUCUUUUUUCUUUUUUUUACUUAUCCUCCCUUUAAUCUUCACCUCCCCUCUGUGAGGUAGGCAAUGCUAUUGUCCCCAAGUUAUAGUUAACAAUGAAGUACUGAGAGGUUAAAGAAAACUCCACCCCCUGCUUGGUUUGUGGCUUGGUUUUUGAGCAUUGGUGUUAAGACAUUGAGCUCAGGACCUCAUACAGGCAAGUGCUCCCUACUGCCAAGCUACACUCCCAGUCCAAGAGAUUGCCCCCUUAAUGAAUUCACAUGCUAGGAUAAUGCUGCCCUUUUAGAGGCGCUGACCUGGGGUAGACUUGUAACUCAAGCUCCUUUUUAAGCCUUUGUUAUUUGUGUGUGAAAGAAUAGGUCACAGCAUUCGUGUGGAGGUCUGCAGUUGGUGCUUGCCCUCUGCCUGGUUGAGGGAAGCCUUCUAGUUUCUGUUGCACUGUGUACUCCAGACCAAUGGCCGGCAAGCUCCAGGUGACCCCCCAGCCUCCACCUGCCACCAUCUUGCUCUAGGGAGGCUGAUACAAUACAGCAAACACAGAAGGACCAGUGUGGUUGGGAUGGGAGGAAAGGUCGAUUACAAUAUGUUUUUGCUCAUGGAUCAGGUGAGGGGGCUGAGGGAAGGGGAAAUGUAGGAUAAUUCCAAGGCUUUCUGCUUGAAUAACUGGGUAGAUGAUGGUACGGUUACUAAAUCGGGGAAGACUGUGGGAGGAGCAGGCUUCAGGGGAGCUGGGGGCGGGGUGCACAGCUAAAUCAAGAGUUUUGCUGUAACACAUAUGAGUUCCUCCAGAAUCUCUAGUGAAGGGCUAGGGGAGCAACUGAACAUAGAGGUAGGUGGGGUGGGAGCUAGGGCCCCGCACUGUGAGGACUGUGCAGACGCACAGAGCAUAGUCAGGGCAUGAGAAAGAAAGGAAGGCGACCACAGAGACCCAGCCUGGCCCAGCUCCACCGGCCAGCUCCAACCUCAGAAAGUUGGUUCCCUACUCAGGACCCUUGGUUUUCCCUCUCUAAGCAGUGGCCAGCGAGGUCAUUCUGCGAUGCUUCUGAGGACCGACAGCCACCUCAGGGCCACCGCCAACAAAUGGAGCCCAA